rnacentral:tRNA from 1 species
ACUCCCAUAGUUAAAUUAAUGAUAACGUUAGAUUUCGACUCUAAAAUUACUUCCAAAAGUGGGGAGUU